rnacentral:rRNA from 1 species
AGCAGCCGCGGUAAUUCCAGCUCCAAUAGCGUAUAUUAAAGUUGUUGCAGUUAAAAAGCUCGUAGUUGAAUUUCGGGGUUAGUAGGUUGGUCAUGCCUCUGGUAUGUACUGGUCUCACUGAUUCCUCCUUCCUGAUGAACUGUAAUGCCAUUAAUUUGGUGUUGCAGGGAAUCUGGACUGUUACUUUGAAAAAAUUGAGUGUUUAAAGCAGGCUAACGCCUGAAUACAUUAGCAUGGAAUAAUGAAAUAGGACGUUCGAUCCUAUUUUGUUGGUUUCUAGGAUUGACGUAAUGAUUAAUAGGGAUAGUUGGGGGCAUUAGUAUUCAAUUGUCAGAGGUGAAAUUCUUGGAUUUAUUGAAGACUAACUACUGCGAAAGCAUUUGCCAAGGAUGUUUUCAU